rnacentral:lncRNA from 1 species
CUCCAUCUCUUUCACUAGUAAUCUCCAUUCCAAGCUCCAAGAUCCUCCAUAGAAGUAAGAAGUUGAAGUGCUCUCAAGAAGCUUUGAUCAAGGCCUUUCUCACCAUCAUUUCUUGUCAUCUCAUCCUAAGAUUACAACCCUAGCCUUGUGCUAGUAGUAGUCGUGUUUGCUGAGGAGAUUUGGGUUACGAGUACCGAAGACGCAAUACUGAAAUUAAGUAUGGAUCUGGCGGGCGUUGGAAUUUCAAGUCAUGUUAAUGUGUCUUAA